AGUCAGGCUACGGCAACUGGGUUCAAGGUGAACCCCGCCAGGUCCGGAAGGAAGCAACGGUAGCUAUUGGCCCAGUGUGUUGUUAGCCUGGCUGCC
rnacentral:SRP_RNA from 1 species